rnacentral:rRNA from 1 species
AGGGCUACACACGUGCUACAAUGGCGUAUACAGAGGGCAGCGAUACCGCGAGGUGGAGCGAAUCUCACAAAGUACGUCGUAGUCCGGAUUGGAGUCUGCAACUCGACUCCAUGAAGUCGGAAUCGCUAGUAAUCGCAAAUCAGAAUGUUGCGGUGAAUACGUUCCCGGGCCUUGUACACACCGCCCGUCACACCAUGGGAGUGGGCUGCAAAAGAAGCAGGUAGUUUAACCUUCGGGAGGACGCUUGCCACUUUGUGGUUCAUGACUGGGGUGAAGUCGUAACAAGGUAGCGCUAGGGGAACCUGGCGCUGGAUCACCUCCUUACACGA